rnacentral:tRNA from 1 species
UCAGUAGCAUAGUGGUUAAUGCACAGACCCGGUUAAGCGUGAAACGCGGGUUCGAAUCCCACCUGA